rnacentral:lncRNA from 1 species
GCUGCCCCUGUGGCAUAUGGACUAGACUCCCAGGCUGAGGGUCUAGUCGGAGCUGUAGCCGCUGGCCUACGCCACAGCAACAUGGGAUCUGAGCAGCGUCUGCAACCUACACCACAGCUCACGGCAACACCGAAUCCUUAACUCACUGAGCAAGGCCAGGGAUUGAACUUGCAACCUCAUGGUUCCUUGUCAGAUUCAUUAACCACUGAGCCUCGACGGGAACUCCUCUGCUUGGGCAGAACUGAGUUGUUCUGACUCUCUCAAAGGCCACGCUAGGGUAGGCGGUACCAGUUCAGAUCACAGAUGGGGCAACAGAUUAAGUCGGCACUCCUGGGAGAGGCUGGGCUAUCUAGUUGUAGUACUGCCAACUGGAAAACGCCUGCCUGGACAGUAGCCCACUGUCCCUUGUCCCCAGGGAGCGUCUCAGGGGUACCCUUGCUGCCCCAGGGGCUCUCUUCCUGGCAGACUAGGCAGCUAUCCUGAGGCCGAGGAGGAGACUGAUGCAGGGCCAGGUCAAGGCCCCACCCUUCACCCCAGGCGCACUGACCUUCCUGACGGGAGGGUUGCAGCGGCACAUGGUGCCAUGCCCCUGAGCCUGCUGGGCGGAGAAGAGCUGCACGCACGCCCAGCCCUGUGAGGCAGAGAGGGGUGGACCUGGAGGCCGCUCUGCUUGCUGGGGUGGGAGGAAGUGGAGACGACGCAGGGGGGCCACGCUCCCAUCGCCAGCUGCCUUCUGGAUCAGACCGCCUGCGUUCGAAUCCCAGCCCACCACCUACCAGCCGUGUGACUUAAGGCCUGUUUUCUCAUCUGACACACAAGGAAAACCCACCUGACAGAGCCUCAGGUGAGAAUCCCGCCAGAUGGGGGCCACAGAGCCCUCUGCCCGGUGUCUGGUGAGAGGACGAGGAGUGGCUGAUUUCUUCUCAUCCCCUUCCACGUGCAGCCCUGCAGUCCGCUGCCAGGACGGCCCUGCUUAGCUCCCAGGUUAUGCUGCGGAAGCACCGGAUUCUCAACAGGAACUCACGACUCCACUCACGGCAGGUCCAAGGCUGAGGUGACCUGUGGCAGUCCUCUUGGCUGCCCUCGGCUGAGGGAGGGAUGGGAGACGGCCAGCAUCACCCAGCAGGGGCUAUCAGGCCCCACUGCAGCGGUGUCCACAGCCUUUGGCUGGGCCUGCCACCGCCAUGCCCGUUUCUGGGUACCCUUGUCCCUGAUGGCAACCCCCACCCCCUCAGGGCAGCCAGGCUCUACCCCCCAGAUGGCUGGCCCUCUGCCUGGUGCUUCCUUGCAGCCCCAAUCCACAGACCCACCCUCCCU